rnacentral:rRNA from 1 species
ACCCGCCGAACUUAAGCAUAUCAGUAAGCGGAGGAAAAGAAACUAACUAGGAUUCCCCGAGUAGCGGCGAGCGAAAGGGGAGAAGCCCAGCGCCGAAGCCCGCGGCCCCCGGUCGCCGUGCAAUGUGGCGUUUCGGUGGCGGCUCGCCGCCGACCUCUCUGGCGCGCGUACCUCUGAAUGGGUCUGCCCGCAGCGGGUGUCAGGCCUCUGGUCGCCGAGAGCGGUCGCGGCUCGCCGUCAUCGCGGAGUCGGGUUGCUUGAGAGUGCAGCCCAAAGUGGGUGGUAAGCUCCAUCUAAGGCUAAAUACCUAGUGCGAGACCGAUAGCAAACAAGUACCGUGAGGGAAAGUUGCAAAGAACUUUGAAAAGAGAGUUCAAGAGUACGUGAAACCGUUCAGAGGCAAACGGACGGAACUGGGCGAGUUCGCCGCCGCCAUUCAGCCGUCGCGUUCGCGCGGCGGUGCACUUGGCGGUGGCGGAGCGCGACGACCGUCUGCUCGGCCGUCGGAAGCCCGGCGGCAAGGUGGCCGCGCGUUCGCGCGCGGUGUUACAGGCCGCCGUGGUAGGACUGGCUGGGCGGGCGAGGAGCGCCUGCGGUGCGCUCCCUCCCCCCCUUCGCGGGGGCGGGACGGGAGCGGCCCGUCGCGGUGGGCCUGCGGACGCCGGCGGCAAACUGCUCGCAGUUUGCCGUCGCGCGCUCCGCCUGUCGCGCCGCGCGGUGCCGCGACGCACGCAGGGUCCGGGUCGCGUGGUUCCCGGCACUCCGUCCGACCCGUCUUGAAACACGGACCAAGGAGUUGAGCACGCGCGCGAGUCGAUGGGCUCUGAGAACCCCAGUGGCGCAGCUAAGGCAAAACGGGCGUGAUCCGGCACUGGCGUGCCGGCGCAACGCCGGCCCGCGGCCGACUCGACGCGAGUGGCCGCGGCGCAAGAGCGCGUGUGCUCAGACCCGAAAGGUGGUGAACUAUGCUUGAGCAGGGCGAAGCCAGAGGAAACUCUGGUGGAGGCUCGCAGCGAUCCUGACGUGCAAAUCGGUCGUCAAACUUGAGCAUAGGGGCGAAAGACUAAUCGAACCGCCUAGUAGCUGGUUCCCUCCGAAGUUUCCCUCAGGAUAGCUGGCACUCGAGAGAAAUGGUUGUAUCUGGUAAAGCGAAUGAUUAGAGGCAUUGGGGACGAAACGUCCUCAACCUAUUCUCAAACUUUAAAUGGGUACGAGGCGCGGCCCUUCCUCGACGGGGUCGCGUGCUUGAACAGUGAGUGCCCAGUGGGCCGUUUUUGGUAAGCAGAACUGGCGCUGUGGGAUGAACCAAACGCGCGGUUAGGGUGCCUAACGCACGCUCAUGAGACACCACAAAAGGUGUUGGUUGAUAUAGACAGCAGGACGGUGGCCAUGGAAGUCGGAAUCCGCUAAGGAGUGUGUAACAACUCACCUGCCGAAUCAACUAGCCCUGAAAAUGGAUGGCGCUGUAGCGUGCGACCCAUACCGCGCCGCCGGGGCAAUGCGUGCGAAAUGCCAGGCCCCGGUGAGUAGGAGGGCGUGUCGGUGGCGCUGAAGCGUUGUGCGCGAGCACGCGUGGAGCCGCCUUCAGUGCAGAUCUUGGUGGUAGUAGCAAGUAUACAAAUGAGAACUUUGUAGACCGAAGUGGAGAAGGGUUCCAUGUGAACAGCAGUUGGACAUGGGUCAGUCGGCCCUAAGAGAUCGGAAAACUCCGUUCUGAACGGGGGAGGAGAGACAGAGAGAGGGCGCGCCGUCGCCCGACGCGCCCGAGCGCGCCACUCGCCGCGUGUCCGAACGUCUUUAGGGCAGCGCGCGCGGUGCAGGCGGGCCGAUUGGGGCGGGCGACGGUCGGGCGCGCUCAGUCAGAUCGACUGGAGCCCCCGAUCCGAUCGAAAGGGAAUCGGGUUAAUAUUCCCGAACCUGGCGGCGGAGAUUGGGCCCUCGGGCCCCAGUGCGGUAACGCAACCGAACUCGGAGACGCCAGCGUCGAUCCCGGGAAGAGUUCUCUUUUCUUUGUUAGGAGCGGACUCCCUGGAAUUGGCUUGUCCAGAGAUAGGGACGUUGCAUCCGUAAAGCGUCGCGCCUCACGCGGCGUCCGGUGCAUCGGCGCUGGCCCUUGAAAAUCCGAGGAAGGCAGUGUAAUUUUCGCUCCAGGCCGUACCCGAAUCCGCAGCAGGUCUCCAAGGUGAACAGCCUCUGGUCGAUAGAACAAUGUAGGUAAGGGAAGUCGGCAAAUCCGAUCCGUAACUUCGGGACAAGGAUUGGCUCUGAGGUGCGGGCUGUUUCGGGUCGCGGCAAGAAGCGGACGGCGCGCUGAGCUGGACUGGGCGCGCUCUCGGGCGCGCUCGGACCGCUGCCAGCGCGCGGCCGUGGGCGGCCGUGGCUUUCGCCGGCGAGCGCCUCGCGGCGCGCGUCGGCUUCGUUCGGCCUUAACGCACGGAACAGAACUGGCACGGACUCUGGGAACACGACUGUCUAAUUAAAACAAAGCAUCGCGAUGGCCGCUGGUCGGUGUUGACGCGAUGUGAUUUCUGCCCAGUGCUUUGAAUGUCAAAGUGAAGAAAUUCAACCAAGCGCAGGUAAACGGCGGGAGUAACUAUGACUCUCUUAAGGUAGCCAAAUGCCUCGUCAUCUAAUUAGUGACGCGCAUGAAUGGAUUAACGAUGUUCCCACUGUCCCUAUCUACUAUCUAGCGAAACCACAGCCAAGGGAACGGGCUUGGCAACUACAGCGGGGAAAG